rnacentral:rRNA from 1 species
AACUUUCAACAACGGAUCUCUUGGCUCUCGCAUCGAUGAAGAACGCAGCGAAAUGCGAUACGUAAUGUGAAUUGCAGAAUUCAGUGAAUCAUCGAAUCUUUGAACGCACCUUGCGCCCCUUGGCAUUCCGAGGGGCACACCCGUUUGAGUG